AGAGAUGCACUGGGCGUAAAGCGUGCGCAGGCGGUUUUGUAAGACAGAGGUGAAAUCCCCGGGCUCAACCUGGGAACUGCCUUUGUGACUGCAAGGCUGGAGUGCGGCAGAGGGGGAUGGAAUUCCGCGUGUAGCAGUGAAAUGCGUAGAUAUGCGGAGGAACACCGAUGGCGAAGGCAAUCCCCCUGGGCCUGCACUGACGCUCAUGCACGAAAGCGUGGGGAGCAAACA
rnacentral:rRNA from 1 species